UUAACUACAUUCCUCUUUCCUUUUGUGAAGAUUACACUCAAUACUAUGGAAAGCAGGAUACAGCCUCAUCUUUUCUUUGCUGGAGAGGUAAUAUUUGUUUUUUGAGGAAGUACAUGAUCCUUGGGCACACUCUUCACUGGGUCCUCUUCCUUUUGAUGGGCAGCUUGGUAUCUUGAAUGCUACUCAGUCCCAAGUACAUACAACAUACUUGGCCCAUCUAUGAGCAAUCCUCCACGAAUCUGACUAUGCGACCAAGCUAAAGCAAGUCCCAAUUGCGAUGUCUAGGUAGCUGAACUGUCUAGGCAGGCCCCAAUUGCAACCAAGCUAAAGCAGGCCCCAGUAGCUCUCAAACUAUAGUUAACCUGUCAUUUAUUCUCUAGUUUGUGAUUGUUGUAGAUGAUGAAAAUGGUGAUGAAGAAGGAGAUCUUAUCAUGGAAGCAUCUCUUACCAGUUUGAAGUCAUUUUCUUAAGGGUGAUGUUGUCUGUUGAAAAUGACUAGUAUUUUUAUGUUGUUGAGAUCCAUCCACCUUUAAACUUGCAUAUGUGCCAUGUGUGUGGUGGAAUAAUUGUCCCAACUUAUUGAGUUGUGGCAAUACAAGUUGUUAUCUACCCCUUUUCUCAAAGGU